rnacentral:rRNA from 1 species
CAGCAGCCGCGGUAACACAGAGGGUGCGAGCGUUAAUCGGAUUUACUGGGCGUAAAGCGUGCGUAGGCGGCUUUUUAAGUCGGAUGUGAAAUCCCUGAGCUUAACUUAGGAAUUGCAUUCGAUACUGGGAAGCUAGAGUAUGGGAGAGGAUGGUAGAAUUCCAGGUGUAGCGGUGAAAUGCGUAGAGAUCUGGAGGAAUACCGAUGGCGAAGGCAGCCAUCUGGCCUAAUACUGACGCUGAGGUACGAAAGCAUGGGGAGCAAACAGGAUUAGAGACCCCCGUAGUCCCUGUCUCUUAUAC